rnacentral:rRNA from 1 species
UACGAAGGGGGCUAGCGUUGCUCGGAAUUACUGGGCGUAAAGCGCACGUAGGCGGUCUUUUAAGUCAGGGGUGAAAUCCUGGAGCUCAACUCCAGAACUGCCUUUGAUACUGGGAGACUUGAGUCCGGGAGAGGUGAGUGGAACUGCGAGUGUAGAGGUGAAAUUCGUAGAUAUUCGCAAGAACACCAGUGGCGAAGGCGGCUCACUGGCCCGGUACUGACGCUGAGGUGCGAAAGCGUGGGGAGCAAACAGG